CCGCCUUGGAGGGAAUGGGCUAACAAAUCUGAGCCAGAACAAUUCCUAAUCGCCAUGGUGACCUAGCACCUGAAGUUUGUUAUGCCCUGCUCUAAAGCAGUGCUCCUCAAAUCUCUCCUCAAGGCCCACCUAACAGUCCAGCAUUUAAAGCGGCACUGUCAUGCCGAACUUACCUUUCCUCAAUCUCUUCCUCUUCUCCCCCUCUCUCAGGAUCUGUUCUUCAUUUC